AGCAGCCGCGGUAAUUCCAGCUCCAAUAGCGUAUAUUAAAGUUGUUGCAGUUAAAAAGCUCGUAGUUGAAUUUCGGAAUCAAUAUGUUGGUCGUGCCUUGGUACGUACUGGCAUUAUCGAUUCCUACCUUCUGAAGAACCUCGAUGUCAUUAAUUUGGUGUCUUGGGGAAUCAGGACUGUUACUUUGAAAAAUUAGAGUGUUUAAAGCAGGCUCGCGCUUGAAUACAUUAGCAUGGAAUAAUGAAAUAGGACGUUUGAUUCUAUUUUGUUGGUUUCUAGGAUCGACGUAAUGAUUAAUAGGGAUAGUUGGGGGCAUUAGUAUUCAAUUGUCAGAAGUGAAAUUCUUGGAUUUAUUGAAGACUAACUACUGCGAAAGCAUUUGCCAAGGAUGUUUUCAUUAAUCAAGAACGAAAGUUAGGGGAUCGAAGACGAUCAGAUACCGUCGUAGUCUUAACCAUAAACUAUGCCGACUAGGGAUCGGAUGAUGUUAAUUUUUAAUGA
rnacentral:rRNA from 1 species